GACGAACGCUGGCGGCGUGCCUAACACAUGCAAGUCGAGCGAAUGAAGUUCCUUCGGGAACGGAUUUAGCGGCGGACGGGUGAGUAACACGUGGGCAACCUGCCUCAUAGAGGGGAAUAGCCUUCCGAAAGGGAGAUUAAUACCGCAUAAGAUUGUAGUACCGCAUGGUACAGCAAUUAAAGGAGCAAUCCGCUAUGAGAUGGGCCCGCGGCGCAUUAGCUAGUUGGUGAGGUAACGGCUCACCAAGGUGACGAUGCGUAGCCGAUCUGAGAGGGUGAUCGGCCACAUUGGGACUGAGACACGGCCCAGACUCCUACGGGAGGCAGCAGUGGGGAAUAUUGCACAAUGGGGGAAACCCUGAUGCAGCAACGCCGCGUGAGUGAUGACGGCCUUCGGGUUGUAAAGCUCUGUCUUCAGGGACGAUAAUGACGGUACCUGAGGAGGAAGCCACGGCUAACUACGUGCCAGCCGCCGCGGUAA
rnacentral:rRNA from 1 species